AGCAAAGCUUAUAUAAUCAAGUGGCUCAUUAGAGAAGAUCAGAGGAUUUCAAAGUACACUUUAAAGACUAGAACUAAUGUCCUGUAUUUAAAGAGGAGAUCAAAGUUGACACCAUAUCCAGAAGAUCCUUUGCAAAAUGUCACUCUUCUGUGUUAUUAUCAGAAGUGACUUUCACUGACCUUCACUGUAAAUCUAUGAAAGGUCUCGAUGUGAGUCUAAUAAGCACUAACAAUUAAGGGAUGUGUGUGGCAGUGAGUCCUCAUACGUGAAAUUGAUGAAGAGACUUUGCAGCUGAGGAUUAUCCUGGCUACACCAAGACUAACAAAGAAACGAAGGAACAAAGCCCAUGAACCCAGGAGACGUGGAAGUUACUCAGACAUAAGGACAGGUGAAUACCACUUAGAGCACUCUCCCCCUUCCCCAUUUUGGACCGGACAAACAUAAAUGAAAAUAGUAAGAUAAACCAGGAUGGGGCGCAUCUAUAGGGUUGUCUCGGAGUCACAAGGACACAUGAACCCUGUCUACUUCAGAGGAUUAUUGAGAAAAGCAAGUGACCUAACUAAUAAUAUUUCAAGAUCAAGAAAGGAGUUUGAGGUUACAGAGGACACUCAUAAUCUUAGUUCAUAAGCAGAGAUAGAUCCUCCGUCAAAUUCCUCGUGGCCAUAGCCACUGCGUGCACAGCGUGCAUCUCAAGUAUGCCAGUGGAAUAAUAUCCUCCUGCCAAGUGAUUCUGAUUCUUCUUAUGAGGAAUGAUAAUAUCAUCUUAAUUACGAAUUGCAAAUACAAAAGACAAUAUAUGGGAUCCUAAAGCAAGGAGACUGAUCUAGUCCCAAUGCCCAGUACAAUGCCUGGAAGACAAGGUUUGCACAAGAGAUCAGUGAUGCUCCGACGAAUGAGAGGUCCAGAGUCAGCUCACUUCCUGGGCACGUGCCUCAUCGCACACACUCACGGUUGAUCGGCAAUGCCUCUUUUACUGAAUAAUGACUCCUUUUUGUAUUUCGAAAUCUCACUCUUAAUCAAUUCACAGAAACUCAGAAACUUUUCUAAAUAGAAACAGUCCAUCUGAGCGGUGGUAAACAAGAUGUUGAAGUCUGCAAAAUGGAAAACAAAUUAUGCAGAGGAAUUGUGUGCAAUGACUUAGAAAGAAAAAAAAAAUGGACACUUUUUAACCCACUCCUGCUUCUUUAAUUGUUUUGGCAUGUGAGAAUCAGAGUCACGCAGGUAAGCAAAUGUUAACUUUCCAGAAGCCUGCCACUUGGAGGCUCAGAUCCGUUUUUGGUGUAGCUCCAUGCUGCAGCCAAGCCGCAAUAGCACAAAGCAAGUACGUGUUGUUAUGUGUGAAAUGACUGAAGGUGGUUUUGAACUUUUCACUGAAGUGAGUGUCACGGGCUAAAUACUUCCCCCAAGACUGCAAUGAACCGCAAAACUGUCUCUGGAAUUCAGCCUAUCGCUCCUAACUGAAGUUGGAUACCCCUAGAGGAUUACAAAGUGAUAUUUGACAGCAAGGGCUUUUUCAGUAUCAUUUGUUUGUGUUAUUAAGAGUGAACAUAUAUAUUAUAAAUGUUUCCUUUUUUUUUUUUAUUACCUUCCCAUACUUUUACGAGUUUGGAAGGAAAACUUCAGAAAAAUACUGUGAUAAGAGUCAGUAAAUUUUCUGCAGAGAGUUUAAUAGGAUAGUUAAAAUUUCUCAAAUAAAGCAUUGUCUCUCACUGCAGACAUGGCCGUUCUCCCAGUUAUGGAUGGAAGGAGACUGCUAAAAGCACCACAACCCUGGGAAUACCCAAGAGUACCGAAAAUCGCUGAUGCUCUUAUGUUUUACAGAUGCAGCCGCUGAGGCUGGUGGAGGAUAAAUAACAACCCCCAGGUCACACUACACUGGUAGUAAGUGACAGAACCAUACUUAGAUUCCAGAUGCUCGAACUCUAAACCACUAUGUUACAUUUAUUAAACAGAUAUUUCCCAAGUUCCCAGUUAUUUUUUAGUCCGUAUAUGAUACUGCUCAUAUUGGUGGUUGAAUCGUACAAUAUCAGACAUAGCUCUGCUCUUAAGAUGCUUCUCCUAUUGUCAGGGGAGAUAAGACGUGUUUCCACAAAAACUCACCAAAAUAGAAGGCAGUAAACAAGAUGUGAAGACUUAAGAGGUAGGCAUUUUAAACAAGGUAGGCUCACGUUUUGGGCCCCAAUCGAUUGUCUUUUGAAGCAUAAAACAUGAUAUUGAUAAAAGAAAUGUUCACAUAUUGAAGUAUGGGGAAGUCUUUCUGGCUUAUACAUGAGUUAACUUGAAUUUUAUGCUAACUAAAACAGCCUGUACAUUGUACAUCUGCUGGAAUUAUUAAAGGAAAGGGCGCAUUGACCAGAGGUAAAAAAAUGUCCAUGUUAAAAAUGAAGAUCAAAUGCCUUCCUUCCUGGGAUGCCAAGGCUGGGACUCCUUCGAUGAUGACUCCCUUCCCAGGGGCCAAGGCCAUCCUGACGCACUGUGUAGGUGCUGAUCUGUUUUGUUGAAACCUUGAAGGAAUGUAUCUCUGACUUGCUUGGUGUUAUUUGUUCUGACAAGACGUAAAACUGUGCUGAAACCGUUCUUCCCUGGAGCAGUUCCUCGGAGUUAUAUGAGCUGGCUUCUGGGCUAUAGUCCUUAGCAUGGCUGAAAUAAAACUCCUGCCUGUCUAUUCCUAUUAUAGAUUGUUGACUGAUUAUUUUCGUCGACAGUAUCAUUCCACCAGGACAGGCAAACCUACUUGAGGAGAGAAGAUACAGCAUUUGGAUGAAUGUUGCAGCUCUGCUGCGUUUCUGAAGACCCUGAUGUGAUCAGGGAGGACUCCACAGAGGAGGUGAGACUCGAGUGCAACCUCCAAGGAUGACGAAACUUGGAUAUCUGGAGAGGCGAGAAGAAGGUGUCAGAGGCUACAGAAAUGGUUCACAUUAAGGUGUGGAGUCAAGUGUAUAUGAGGAGUGAUGGUAAAAUAUUGAAGAGGGUCGGCCUUAUUGGAGAAUAAGUUUUCUGGGGAAGGAGUGCCAGAUAAGACUAGAAACUUCUAAUGACCCACGGUGAGCACCUGGUAGGAAGAGGAAGCAGAAUGCAGGGGAAGGAGAAGAUGCACAGUUCACCUCACAGAAUGGCCUGGGGUUGCUGUGUUUACAUAUUAGUCCUUUUGUCUAGAACCUUUCCCCUGAAACUCUUACUAUUAAGCAACGAAGCUAAAUGAAUACUGAAAUAAUUAUCUGAAAAAACAAGGGAUAAAGAUUGGGGAAUUAUUUCCAUAAACAGCAGGGUAUUUCCUGAGGCCAAAAAAUGUGAGUUAUUUCCUUUAUUAUUUUUAAUACUUUACUAAAUGCCUGCUAGUCCUUGGAGGGUCAAAAAUAAACUCUUAUCUUCAGUUAUUCUUCUUAUCUUUGAAACUUAUCCGAUAAGAGCAUUUUCAACUUUUGAGUUGUAGGAACAACAUCCUUAAUAAAAUUAUAUGGUACUUUCUUUGAUAUCUGAUUUCUGUCUCUGUUUAUUCUCUGUCUUUUGACUUUACUAUUACUGGAUGCUUUUAAAAAACAGGUUGUACAGUUUGUUAUUCUUAAGCAAUAGAAAACCAUCACAUUAAAUAAAUUUCUCUAGAUAGUUAUUCCACAACAACAGGAAUAAGUUUAUAUAUAUAUAUAUUUCCCAUUUCAUCCUACUGCUAAUAAAUAGUAAGUUAAUUUGAGCAUUUCAGAAAGCAAUAAUAAAAACAAUAAAAUAUUCUGCUUCUAAUUCUGAUUUUCUUUUCCUUUUCUCAGUUUCAUGGCUGUAGAUGGAAGCCUUUAGGAAGUUCUACUUAUAAAGGAGACAAAGGAAAGGGAAGAGGAGAAGAUGGCUCCAGAUUUUCAAGCUGGGCUGACUUGAUAGAAAAAAUGAAAUUAGGUAAGUGGAUACAACGUUGGUACAAAGAGGACAGAUGUUAUUUUAAAGUAGCAAUGCCCUGCAUGCAAUUAGAGUUACAGGACUAGAGCUGAAAUGAGAGAUCAAGGCUGGAUAUAUGUCAUUAACAGUGUAAAGUUAAACCAUUAAUUCUAUUUUAAUGUGACGCAUUAUAGUUGGCUCUCCAUAUCUGCAGGUUCCACAUCCAAGGACUCAGCAACCUUAGAUCAAAAAUAUUCGGGAAAAAAAAAUUCCAGAAAGUUCCAAAAAGCAAAGCUUGAAUUGGCUGCACAUCAGGAACUAUUAACAUAGCAUUUACAUUGUAUUGACAACUAUUAACAUAGUAUUUACCUUGUACUAGGUAUUAUAAAUAAUCUAGAGAUGACUUAAAGUAUAGGGGAGGAUGUGCAUAGAUUAUAUGAAAAUACUACCACAUUUUAUAUGAGACUUGAGCAUCCUGAGUUUGGUAUCUCUGGGGGUUUUGGAUAUCCAGAUAUCCCACGGAUAUCUAGGGAUGACUGUGCUUAUACUGUAGUUGAAGAGCAUAGAGCCAAGAAGUAAAUAAUGGAGAUGGUCACAGAUGGUAUAAGGGAUUAUUGAAAGAUGAGAAGAUUUAUAAGGAGAUUUAUAAUUGGAAGAAAAUGGGAGAAGAAAAAUGUUUCAUGUGUCAAUAUUUUCAACAAUAGAUUUUCAUACUUCUGUUUAACAAAUAUCAUUGAGCCCCUGUUAUGAGCUAGGCACUAUAUUAGGUGCCAAGGUUAUGUAGGAUUGAGUAUAAAUGUCCCUGACCACAUGGAAGUUCUACAUUGGGGGUGGGAAAUGCAAGAGGGGUUGAAAUACUCUCACGCUGUGUGAUACAACACAGACAUUUUAAAGAACUGCUGUGCAAUAUGUAAUGAAGCUUCAAAGUAUGGGUGUAAUCCCCCAAUAGUAUAAAAGAUAUUUUAAAAUGGAACAUUUUUUCUUAGGUUUAUGAUUCGGUAAUCCCAAUAACAAUAAAAUAGAGUUAUAAAAAAAGAGAUAAGGUGGAGUGUGGAAGGAACAGAACUUUGGGUAAAUGACAGAUGUACAUCGUCAUCAUCUGAUAGCACACAGUUUUUUACAAGUCUAUAAAAUGCUCAAGUCCUUGAAGAAGGGAGUUGUAGAAGAGGUGGGGCAGGGUCCUUAAGGCACGUUCUCUCAGGAAAUGAAGCUGCUGAGUAGAUGUUAACUGCGAGACACGGCCUUUUCUGAAUUGUCAGAAGUGAGUGCAAUAAACAAAGGCAAGCAAGGUUCAGAAGGCGGACAGCACACGCUAACGUUAUAGUCAAAGGUCUCUCCUUUGCAAAGAUGCAUCCUACCUUUGCAAGCAUAGGGUUGUUUCUCAUGGAAAACAUCUUCCCUGUAAAUAUCAGGCUCCUGUUUGCACUAAUUAGACACGCGAAACGUGUGUGAGUGCAAGAAUGCACACACAAGGCAUAAUCGCAGUGUGCCCUUUGGUAAUUGCCCUCAUCAUAGCAGGUCUUUCCAAGGAUUUUGUAAUUCAGCAAAGUGUGAAGUGUGAGCCUUAGGCAAAUGUCUGUGAGCCUGGAAACACUAGGUAGGAACAGGAAGGUGUAACUACAAGUGGACUGCUGAUACCUACGUGUGGAACCAAUGUAUAUUUCAUGAGUUAUGAAAUAAUAUGUUGUAGGACUAAUGACUUUUUGAAACACAAGAAUAAGAAAAUUUUGGCCAGGUGGCAUGAAAAAGGAAUAAAGACACUUUGAGUGUUUUAAAGAUCUGUAGUACUUUAAAAUAGCUGUUAUUCAAUGAAUCUUCAUCAAACCCUACCUAUUUAUGAGGCUUGGGGAAGGAGAAAGAAAACUAACCAAAGAAGCCUUUGGGAAGUGCCAAGUGAUAGUGCAGAUAUAAAAUCUAUGGGUAGAGAAUAAUAAGGAGAUCACCAAAUCUGAAAAUUAAAUCAUUUUCAGCAUUUUGGUCUAUGUGGUAUGUAAGAUAAAAUGAUUUUUUUUUUUUUAGAGAUACCAGUUCAUGCUGGACAAGUGAUUCUAUUCUCACCUCCUCAGGCUCUAAAUCAAUGGAGCCUGGGUUUAGGAGAAGCCCCAAGCAGUGGACCUUGGCUGGUGGUCUGGGGGAAGCAUCAGCUUUCAGGAAAUUUCUCAGGUUCAACCGUAGAAUCUCCAGGUGAAGAAGAAAGAGAUCAAAGUUUCUAAGGUGAAUGGAGACUGGGGGUUGGAAGUUUGGGAAGACAUCAUAUAGGGAGCUUAGAGACCAAAGGUAACAAAAUUCUUUAUAAUGUUGGUGAUUCAUUCAUGGCCCUUUACAUCAUGAGAAUUAACCCCUGGCUUAUAAAGUUAAUCGUAUUAUAUCACUUCAGCAUUUUGGAGAACAUCAUUUGCAACGGUCCGUGAAAAAUCCCUGGCAUAAUGAAUAUGUUACUUUGUGAUUCUAGCGAGGUCUAAUGAAUAAAUAUAACAUUUAAGCAUAUUCCUAAGAACCUAGUCUAGAUUCACUCGAUAAACCAGAUAAGCUCACUGUUAAUGGGUUUGUUCUGGUUGGCUGAGUUAAUAAUGAGUGCUUAAAAUUGCACCUAAUGCAUAUUUACUCAAUAAAAGAACCGUCUGAGUCAUGACUCUAUGUGCAGUUGGAAACCCAAUGUAAUAAGUAUGUAUUUGAAAGCUUUAAAUGCUAUACUACACAUUAGAAUUAUAUAAUUUGAAUUUUUGUUUUGUCUUUCUAAUCCAUCCGAUCACUGUAGGGUAGGACUUUUGUUUACAUUAGAGCAAAUGAAUAGUGUAAAUACACUUUAAAGAAAUUUGCAUGGUCUGGGAAGAAUUAAUAAAAAUUAUAAUUGUGCUAUGUAGUACAAAGUGAAAUAUUCCAACACAUAGCUUGGCAGUAGCUACUUGGAAAUAAUAUAAAAUAUUCCUAGUCCUUAUAUCUGUAACUUCCGUGUUUAUCACUUUUAAUUUUAAGUCUAUGGGGAGAUUCUUUUGGCUUGAAAAUGUGCAACAUUUUCCAUAAUCUGAUUCAGAGCCAAUGCAUUCAAUGUCGCAAAUAUAUACUGAGCUUCUUUUGUGAUAAGAGAUAGGCAAACUAGAUGUUAUAGUCAUUGCCUUUACUGGGAAUUCUCUGGUGGUCCAGGGGUUAGGACUCAAUGCUGCCACUGUCAGGGUCCUGGGCUCGAUACCUGGUUGGGGAACUAAGAUCCUGCAAGCCUCGCGGUGAGGCAAAAAAAAAAAAAAUUCAUUGCCUUUACAGAACUUAGCACCUUGUUGUGCCCUGAACAAAAUUGUAUUUGGAGAAACUUUGUCUUGACCGUCCCCCUACGACUUUCAGCCUCUUCUUGUCCACCAUCACUGCAUCCUCAGAUGUUUGUGUGGAAGUCUUAAACCCAAGACAGCUCCACUUACAGUAAUUACCAGGUCUAUAAGUUAGGAAUGCUUCUAGUUGCAAGUAAUAACAUGUCAGGGUAACAGCAGCUUUAAAAAGUAGGUUUUAUUCUUCUCAGAUAUCAGUAAGUCUGGAGGCAGGUGCAUGGUGGCAUUGGUUCAGUGGCUCAGCGGUCCUAGGGCUGGUGUCUGUGCGGGUCCCUGUUUGUUCCCUCCUAGUCACUAGAGUGGCAUCAGGCACCCACUUAUCUUGAAGGCGGAAGGAUGUGGAAGAGAACCAAUGCCGGAUGCAUCUGCUACCUCACAGCAACAUCGACAACGAAUUACCAAAGGCUUUACUACAGUCUCCCUGGACAUUUCUGCUUACAUGUAAUUAUCUGGAACUGUGGCAUAUGGCCACCUAGCUGCAAAUAAAAGUGGGGGCAUGAGUUUUUAGUUGAGGGGCUGGAUGGGAGAGGGGAAUCGGAAAUGGGUGUUGGGUUAACCAGACGAUAGUGUCGGCCACACCUGGAGAGCCUGUGCUCCACUGGUUAGGAACAGACUUACGGGGACCUGCUGGGAAGAGAAAAGGCCCAGGCGGCAGAAGAUGUUAAAACCGGUAGAGGCGUGUAUUUCUCCCCCUCCAGCCGCAUUCACCCAGAUCCGUAUAUUGACAUGUGUGAACCCAGGUUAUCCCUCGAGGCGAUUCUUAAUGUUUCUUUCUUUCCCUCUUGAGUUUAUUUGGUUCUCACAUAUUAUAUACCAAUAAAGAAAUAUACUGAAAAAUCAUCUCUCACUUCCAUUUCCUUAAACAGUUUUCAUGUUUCCAUUUUCCUUUUGACCCGUAUCAUUUGCAUGUACUUCAGUGUAAAGAUAAUUAAAUACUAAUUUAUUUUUUCACUUAACGUUAUUUCAUAACCCUGUCCACCUUGCUGUUUCAUUUUGUCCUUAAUGAAUAUCUGUAUUGUCCUUACUGAUUCCUUUAAAGGAUAGAUAUUUGGUAGCCAUUAUAACGUUCCUUAGUUCCAAGAGACUACUUGCAAAAAAGUCAUUAAAUCCACAGUAACAGAAGGACUGAAUCAUAUUUGUCAUUUUUGAAAAGCUAUUCUUUUAAAUUCUCCUGGUUUGAGAAUGAUGUAACCAUGGUGACUUAAGAACUUUUAUAAUGAAGUGAACAUCAAUAUAAUUCAAUAUAAUGAAUGAACAUCAAUAAGUCAGCUGAAAACCCUGCUGGUCCAACAUGCAGGUAAUCUUUGUGUUUAAACAUCCCAAGCCACUAUUUUAAUUUUGAAUAAUGAUAAUGAUAAUAAUGAUCUUUUUUAUUACUUCUUGCACUAUAUGUGUGUGUGCAUGUGUGUUUGUGUCUGUAUUAUUUUAUUUGCAGAAAAAACGAUCUUUCUUCAGCUUCCCCUACCAUCUCUAUAACGCUGACCAGGCUUUUAAAUGCAAUACUCAGCAAGUUAAUAGACGGCUAGAACACUAGAAUUAAAAAAAAAACAACACUAGAUGUCAUACCCACCAAAUAACUUUUAAAACCUAUGACUACCUUAUACAUUUUUAGGUGCUAUUUGCCAUUUGUCAUCAUAAGAUUAAAUAAUUACAAAUUCAAUUUCUGACGAUAGUUGCAAACACAAUUUUGUAAAUACUGAACUUUUUAAAUUAAAUUGUUACAUCACUUUUAAAUGUAGCCAAUGGAAUUUGCAUAAAUCAUAGGCAUGAUACCCAUUGUCAAUUAAAAAAAAUAUGGACAAGUUCUGCCUUCAAUUGACAUUCAACAAAAUGACUGGAUAAAUAAAAUUUGGGGUAUCCAUGCAAUAGAAUAUUAUCUGGCCAUUAAAAAGGAACAAAGUAUUGGUAUAUGUGGAAGUUUGGAUAAACCUUGAAAACAUUAUGCUAAGUGAAAGGAAACCAUCAUAAAAAAAAUCUAAAUAUUACCUGACUUAAUUCAUAUGAAAAUCUAGAAUAAGGAAAUCUAUGGAGACAAAAAAGUAGAUUAAGAGUUUGCUUAUGGCUGGGAGGGGCGAAGGAAUAGGUGGGUGACAGAUAAAAUGCAUAAUGUUUAUUUUUGAAGUGGUGAAAUUGUUUCAAAAUAUGGAGAUAACUUCACUGGUCUGUAAAUAUAGUAAAAAUCAUAAAAUGGUAUAUUUUAAAUGGAUGAAUUGUAUGGUAAAUAAAUUAUAUCUCAAUAAAGCUGUUUAAAAAGGAAAAAAAUAUGGACAAGUUCUGCAUUCAUAUUUGGGAAUUUCGCAUUGUGUUUCUUUCUACUUGAAUUUAUAUUUUAAUUUCAUUUCCACUGAAGAGUAUUAUUCUAAUCUAAUGAAUUUGUGAAAACUGUGAGAUUCCAGGUAUCUGUGGAUGAAUAUGUUGUAGGUCAGCAACGUGGUCAACAGCACAGAAUGUGGAGCUGGGUUUCUUGAGUUCAAGUUUUGCCACUUGCCAGCUGUGUGAUAUUGAGAAAGUUACUGAACGCUCUGUGCCUAAAUUUCCUCUUCUGUAAAAGGGAGAAAAUAUUACUUGUGCCACAGGAUUGCUGUGAAGACAAAAUCAGUUCACGUAGUAUGGAAGUUAAAGAAAACCUGGAACACAAUGGCACCAGGUAAACUUUUGUUGUUAUUGUUAGACUGAGAUAGGGUUCAGCAUCCACUUUGCUCCUUUAAAAAAAAAAAAAUUAAAAAAAAAUUGAUUUAAGUGCUGAUCAACCUUGUUUUACAUAAAGAGAGAGAAAACAGUGAAAGGACUUUGGUAUGUAUUAUUGUCCCUUGAAUCUGAACUCCUUCCGAGUUACCUGCCAAAGAAAUCACAGCAGUCUAUCAAGGCAACUAUGCAAGAUUGACAACUUGACCAGAACCUCUCAGUUUUGUUGAAAACAAAGAAUUGGAAAUACCUGGUUUUCAAAAUGUCUCUGGAACUUGCGCUCUUCACUGUUUCAAUUUCUAGGAAGUAGACUGCAGAAAGCUUGACUAGCCUUAUCGAAUAGCUCUUAGAGCCUAUUACUUUUUCACUUACAGGCUUCAAAUUUAACUCAAUAUUCUCAGAGGGGAUUGGGAAUGGAAUAAAUUUACCUGCUUCACCUUGACCAAUAACAUUUCUAAUCAGUUUUAUUAAUGGUGUAAUUUACGUAGAAUAAAAUUCACCAGUUUUACGUGUACAGUUCCGUGCAUUUUGACAAAUGUUUUAAGGUUGUAUAACCACCACCAUCAUGAUACAGAACAUCUCCACCACCAAAAAAUGUUCCCUCAUUCCUGUCGCAGUCCAUGCCUCCUACAGGUUUCUGGCCUCUGAUCUUUCUGUUACUAUGUUUUACUUCUAGUAUCUGGAUAAAAACCUAGGAGUGAGAUUGCUGAGUUAUACAGUUAGUGUGUGUUUAACUUUAUAAAACACUGCAAACUGGUUUUGAAGUGACCCUACCGCCAGCAAUGUCUGAGUGUUUAUAUCCUCAGCAAUACUUGCUAUCAUCAGUAAUUUUUAAAUUUUAGCUAUUUUAUUGGGAUGCAGUGGUGCCUCAUUGUGGUUUUGAUUUGAAGUUAUCUAACUCUUCAUGGUGUUGAACAUCGUUUCAUGUAUUUGUUUGCCAUGGCCACGUGCUUAUUUGCUUUAUUGCCGUUCUUUGCUCAAGAAUCUGUUCAGAUUUUUUGCUCAUUUUUAAUCGUCCUUUUCCUUCUUAUUAUUGGGUUGUAAGAGUCUUUAUAUAUUCUAGAUUAAUCAUUUUUGUAAUGUACUUUUUACAUUAUCACAUUUUUAACUAUAUUUUUUAAAACCCUGGUGCUACAGAUUUUGCUCAUCUAAUUCAUGGAAAAAUGCCCUUCGAGUUUCCUAACAGGCAAAGCAAGGGCCAUUGUCAAACCAAUUAGCUAAAUCACACUUUCUGUCAGAAAAAAAAAUGUUUGACUUCAUCUUCAAUUCUAACAAAUACAUCAGUAUGGGUUCUUGUGUCAAUCCCUUCACAAUUGAAUUCCAACUUCAAGAUAGAUAGAUAAAGUUCGGAUAUUUGCCGUAAGUUUGUCAUCUCUUGGAUGAAAAAAAGUGUCUUCUCGGGGCUUCCCUGGUGGCGCAGUGGUUGAGAGUCCGCCUGCCGAUGCAGGGGACACGGGUUCGUGCCCCGGUCCGGGAGGAUCCCACGUGCCGCGGAGCGGCUGGGCGCGUGAGCCAUGGCCGCUGA